rfam:Dipodomys ordii contig_744, whole genome shotgun sequence.
GGGACUGUGGCUUAGCAGUAGAGUGCUUGCCUAGUAAGCAUGAAGCCCUGGGUUCCAUUCCUCAGUGCCA